CAAGGGCUUCGGGGAGGGCGCGGCCGCGGGGCCGAGCGCGCAGAUCGCUCCGGACCCGGGCACCGCCUGCGAGCCCCGCCGACCAGCAGGGAAGGGUUCGCGCUAGGCGGCGCCCGGGUCCAGUCUGCCAGGGUGAGUGUCCGGCCCGCGUCCCCGCCACGCCCGCUGCGUUCCCCUUUCCUCUGCGGCGGGCCGAGAGAUAACCCCGCCCGAGGAGCCCCGGCGCCCGCCCCCCACGCGGGUCGCACUGGAAUUCGCAGCCCCUCUCGGGUCUCCGGGGCACAUUUUGCAGUCUGGGUGGCAACGCACUUGCUCCAGGACCAGCUGCUGCCCUGCCGCGGCGGACGCGCGGACUUUUCUUUUGGGGGGUCCCGCCGGCUCGCCGCGCUCCCCACCUUGCCUGCGCCCGCCCGGAGCCAGAGGUUCAUCAGGCACCCGGCAUCCAGCGAGACGCGCAGCGCACCGACGGAGGGGACAUGGGCAGAGCAAUGGUGGCCAGACUCGGGCUGGGGCUGCUGCUGCUGGCACUGCUCCUACCCACGCAGUCCGCUGCGCUCCCGAGCCCUCCUCAAUUCUUUGAUGGGGGAGGGGCGCGGCCGCGAGAAACCGGCCCCCUCGACUCCCCGCCCCAUCUUCUCUCCGACCAGAUUUUUUCCUCCAACAUUGUAAGUGAGAAGUUUUAAUAAUGCGAAUAAAUCUAGCUUGGGAGAGAAAAUUUUGUUAAGUGUCAGUUUAAUAAAUUUUUGUUGGUGUAGAGGAUCUUUAGAUCCUCAGAUUGAUACACCGGGUUUUAAAAAGAAAAUAUCACCUGCUGCACUAAAACUAAUUGUAUGAAUAAAGAACAGGUUACUUUCAGGGAGCCCAAACAAGGUGUCCAAAACAGGCACCCUGUUUUAAGUAAAUUACCAUAUUAAUGCUUUUCUUUAUUGGGAGUGCCGUUUCCUGAUGGGACACACUAAAUCUUGCACACAGUAGGUGCCCAAUAAAUAAAUUGGACUUGAUACAGAUUUUUUUGUUGUUGUCACUAAUCUAUUUUGGAUAGAAUUUGUACAUUUCUUUAGUCAAUAUUUGUUUAAUGACCUUAUAUGGAUUUUACAACAAAAGGAGCUGGUGCUGAUGUAGGAAGGGCUUUAUCUUUGGAUUAAUAGGCAGCCAAAUGUACAUGGGGCCCAGACUCUUGCCUGGUGCCACGUCCUCCCUCCCGCCUGUAAUCAGAAGCCCUUGUAAACCCUCCCUUGCAGUGAGGGCUGAAAACUCCGAUCUGCCUUUGUUCCAUGACAAAGGAGAGAUUAUCACGUGCCCUACUGGACUGUGCAUUUCGUGGCUUGAAAAAUCAGUGGUGAAUGAUGCCACUCAGACGCUGGGACACUGGGAGAACCUUGGUUCUUGGCCACAGCACUGAGCUUAGUGACCAGUGAGGCUGCUGCUGGUGAAACUUAACACCAUACCCUCUCGUUGUCUUUUGUGAAAUCGUUCCGACCUCAUGGUGUUUUCUUGAAGUCAUUCUGCCUUAAAGGAAAUACUCAUUUUCUCUUUCAAUUUAACACAAAUAUUGUGGCCAUUUUUUAGAAGAAUUAUUUCAAAUUUCGAGGGAGAAGAUAAGACUGCAGUUCCCCCCUUAGGGAAAAGGCUAAAUUUCCAAGGCUGUAUUAAAUGAGUAUGUGAAAGUUACCUAGCAAAUCCAGGAUAGACACUGACCCAGUUAAUUCUAGUUCCGUAAGUCUCAGUUACAAUAUUUAAAAAUCCCCAUUUUUUUGUGCAACUUUAAAAUCUCUCCCUUUCUGCGAAAAUAGACCUUAUUGCAAUGCCAUUAAGUCAAUAUAAUCUCGGAAACCGAAUUAGUUAACUUGGUCCUUUUUUCCUUUGCAAAGAAAUAAAAACAGGAGUUAUAGUUAUUGAAUAACUUUUUUGUUCUUGUUGCCACUUGGCAUUUUUGAAGCAUCUCUAGGUAGUUUGUUUUGAAACUAAAGAGA
rnacentral:lncRNA from 10 species